AGUGUCUGACUAGUUCUGCAGCUUGGCAAAAAAGCCAGACGUUACCUCAUAGCUGCGGCCAGACAGCCCAUUUCUAUGCCAAGCAACCACUGCAGAAGCACACAGCACAGGGCCCUGCUUGAUUAGCACUUCUGCUGCUUCGAGAGUCCUGGAGUGUUUUGUUCAAGCUCUGCUGGAUGCUGGCUGGAAAGAGAAGUGCAAGGAAUGAAAUGGGGCCCUAAAGAGCACUGGCUAAAGGUUGGAUCCUGCUCCUCAUGAAGUCAGGGGAAAGAUGCCCACUGAUUGCACCAGGUGUUGGAUCUGCCCUCAUCCUAAAUGCGUCAACCCCAUCAGUGUAGUGAUAAGCAUAGUAGGAGUGAGGUUUUAGGAAGAGACGGGUUUGUGCUGCAAAGAUCAAGUCAAGGUCAAAGUAAGGAUGAGUGAACAGCUUCAGCUAUUUCCUCCAUAUCUAACAUUGUGAUGGGGAGCAAGGCUCUUCCAUGUGUACGGGCAACCUGUCCCACUUUCUCCCACAUAUAAGCUCUCAUUACUUUCAAGUAGGAAGGAUCAAGCCCUCUGUUACUCACCAUCAUCAACAGCAUAUCCAGAAACCUGAGCUUCAUAAAUAUGGGUAUAAAUAUAAGUAUGGGCCCCUUGUCAUCCUCCACCCAGUUGUCAGAACAGGGUGCGAGUCCAGCAGCUAUUACUGCUGUUUAUUUUGUCUCUGUAAAGAAUGAAACACCCCUCUGCAAUCCACAUUCUUCCGCUUCACACCUGGCAUCAAAUCACAGCUAACACAUGGAUCGCCACAGUGCAACAAAUGCCGCACUUUCCACUUUUCAAGGAUAUGUGGAUCUUCCUCAUGACCGAAUGUGUAGUUGAAGUUCCAUCUGGGCAGUAUGAUCUACUUUUCAGCCAAAUGAGAACCAGCUCAUUUUGGCAGAGAGAAUGGGAGAGAGCCUCUGCCAUGAUCAGGACUCCCUAUACCAUCACCAGUUUUGAUGAACAUCCGUCUGACUUGGUUCUUCCAUGAUGUCUUGGUAGCCAACCUGAGAAGUUCAGGAACAGUUCCAGGACCUGUGCCACGAAUGACCAGCUCUGGGACAUUUGAGACAACCCACUGUGCACUAGUGGUGGUGGGAAAUACAUUGCACAUCUGCUAUGUGAUUGUUCUUUACAUGUUGGAAUUUCUGCUGAACUUCUCGAGACAAACGCUGCUGUUAGCACCUGUUAAUUGACUCAAGACUUCAAUGGUCUCGCUGCUUCAUGGGGUGAUUUAAAGUUUGCCUUGCUUGUUCACCCACAUAUGCUUUCAUAGAUAGAUAGAUAGAUUAAAGGACUGUGUGGUGGUCAUGUCUGGGUAAGACAAGCCUAUGAAUGCAUAUCUGGUAGGAAGCAGCAACAAUAAGAUCUCCCCAGUCCUGCACGUAUAGAACCAGCUACCUUCAGUGAGACCCCGGACAGGUGUAUGGGUCUGCACACUGCAUCUGGUAACAGAACUGAGGCCAUAUUUUUCAAAAGGGAAAAAUGAGAGAGAUUUUUUUCCCUGACUAAUAAGAAUUCAGAGCAGUGAACCCUAAUCAGUGUGGUUUACUGAGAACUGUGAAUUGGACUGAUUGUCGUUAUGGCUCCAGGUUCUUAGCAACCUUCUCUCCUAAUUAGCAAUAUAAAUAUUUUUUUAAAUAACAUUUAAUAAUCACAGUAGGACACUCUAGAGCAGAAGUUUCCUUUUGGUAAUGCUCUUCUAAGGUAGAGGUGUCUUGAUGCUUAAAGACACACUAGUCAUCCCCUGGCAUAUGAGUGAAACAAGCCCAAUUUGUAGUCUAUCCUGUCUGCUCUCCAAUCACUCAAUGUGAGUUUAUGUGCUGUUUGCUCAGUGCAGGUGCAUUUCCUAGCUGAACAUUUCCAAUUUUAUAAAAGUAUGUGGAUGAAUUUAAGUUUUUUGGGUGGAUUAAGUCUUAAAGAUGAAGUCUGAACUUUUAAGGUGUUCAAUAAAAAACCCCACCACAUACAUCCUGAGGGAAAACAAA